rnacentral:rRNA from 1 species
GGCUUACGUUAAGUUACGGGGGCUCCACAGGAACGGUGGCUAAUACCGGAUGUGCCGGAAGGUGAAAGGCUUGCUGCCUGAAGAUGAGCUCGCGUCCGAUUAGCUAGUAGGUGGGGUAAGAGCCUACCUAGGCGACGAUCGGUAGCUGGUCUGAGAGGAUGACCAGCCACACUGGGACUGAGACACGGCCCAGACUCCUACGGGAGGCAGCAGUGGGGAAUUUUCCGCAAUGGGCGAAAGCCUGACGGAGCAAUACCGCGUGAGGGAGGAAGGCUCUUGGGUUGUAAACCUCUUUUCUCAGGGAAGAACACAAUGACGGUACCUGAGGAAUCAGCAUCGGCUAACUCCGUGCCAGCAGCCGCGGUAAUACGGAGGAUGCAAGCGUUAUCCGGAAUGAUUGGGCGUAAAGCGUCCGCAGGUGGCUGUGUAAGUCUGCUGUCAAAGAGCAAAGCUCAACUUUGUAAAGGCAGUGGAAACUACACGGCUAGAGUGCGUUCGGGGCAGAGGGAAUUCCUGGUGUAGCGGUGAAAUGCGUAGAGAUCAGGAAGAACACCGGUGGCGAAGGCGCUCUGCUAGGCCGCAACUGACACUGAGGGACGAAAGCUAGGGGAGCGAAUGGGAUUAGAUACCCCAGUAGUCAAA